rnacentral:rRNA from 1 species
UACAGAGGCUACGAGCGUUGUUCGGAAUUACUGGGCGUAAAGGGCGCGUAGGCGGCCUUGUAAGUCAGAUGUGAAAGCCUGGGGCUUAACCCCAGAAGUGCAUUUGAAACUACAAGGCUUGAGUGCAGUAGAGAAUGGCGGAAUUCCCAGUGGAGAGGUGAAAUUCGUAGAUAUUGGGAGGAACACCGGUGGCGAAGGCGGCCAUUUGGGCUGUAACUGACGCUGAGGCGCGAGAGCGUGGGUAGCAAACAGG